GAUGAACGCUGGCGGCGUGCCUAAUACAUGCAAGUCGAGCGAACAGACGAGAAGCUUGCUCCUCUGACGUUAGCGGCGGACGGGUGAGUAACACGUGGAUAACCUACCUAUAAGACUGGGAUAACUUCGGGAAACCGGAGCUAAUACCGGAUAAUAUUUUGAACCGCAUGGUUCAAUAGUGAAAGACGGUUUUGCUGUCACUUAUAGAUGGAUCCGCGCCGCAUUAGCUAGUUGGUAAGGUAACGGCUUACCAAGGCGACGAUGCGUAGCCGACCUGAGAGGGUGAUCGGCCACACUGGAACUGAGACACGGUCCAGACUCCUACGGGAGGCAGCAGUAGGGAAUCUUCCGCAAUGGGCGAAAGCCUGACGGAGCAACGCCGCGUGAGUGAUGAAGGUCUUCGGAUCGUAAAACUCUGUUAUUAGGGAAGAACAAAUGUGUAAGUAACUAUGCACAUCUUGACGGUACCUAAUCAGAAAGCCACGGCUAACUACGUG
rnacentral:rRNA from 1 species